rnacentral:lncRNA from 1 species
CAGUAAUUGUGAUUCUUUAUUGUUUUUUUAAUUCUCAAACAUGACGAUAAAAUAUAAUGAGAAAUAUACAUAUUUGAGUAUCAAUUAAGUACUUUCAUGUUUUUUAUUCGGUAAUUACAGCUCCGUACAUACAAAGAGUUGUAAAAAAUAUGAGGUUAAUUUUUUUUAAGCUGGCAGUUAUGAACAACAUUUAUAAUUUCCAAAUCUACUAUAUUUUUUUUAAGUUCUUAUGGAGAGAACAUAACAAGUAAUCUCAAGUGUGCUUCCCAACUUGCUUCUAAAAAUUUAAUGGAGGUGAAAAUGUUUGGAGUUACUACGAGUCUUCAACGUUUUUGACAAGCCAUCUUUUUGAUUUUUUGGCCAAAGUAUUGAAAAAGUUAAACAUUGAAUGACAAGUAUGAAUUCUCCAAAAAUCAUCCAGAAUCUGGAAUAUUAUUAACUGUGGACUUUUAAUAAACCAAAUCAGUCCAUUAAUGGAAAAUCAGUAAUGAUAAGUUUAAGGAAGUACAUUUUUAUUUAUAAUGUUUUCAGUUUUUGUUAUCUUGUCUGGAAUAAUUUUAGAAUACUACUUAUAUAGGAGUUCUGCAUCUUGAAAUUCUACGAAGUAAUUUUAAAGGCCAGAAUAUAGAGUAUAUCAUUAAACAAAAUUUCUUCUUUAUCUCGAAUUUCCAACGAAUGACAUUCAUCCCUUCAUAACGAUGUUUCGAUUUUUUAUUUUCAUUUACGUAUUCUGCACUUGUCAAAAAUAGUUAUAGUAUUUUCUUGAUCAUUAACUUAUUUCAUAGACGAUAUUCCUUGAUCUGUAGAAAUUUUACAAAAAAGAUUCUAUAAAUAUAACCAACUUAUAUAUUA